GUGGGGAAUCUUAGACAAUGGGCGCAAGCCUGAUCUAGCCAUGCCGCGUGAGCGAUGAAGGCCUUAGGGUUGUAAAGCUCUUUCGCUGGGGAAGAUAAUGACUGUACCCAGUAAAGAAGCCCCGGCUAACUCCGUGCCAGCAGCCGCGGUAAUACGGAGGGGGCUAGCGUUGUUCGGAAUUACUGGGCGUAAAGCGCGCGUAGGCGGAUUGGAAAGUUGGGGGUGAAAUCCCGGGGCUCAACCUCGGAACUGCCUUCAAAACUCCCAGUCUUGAGUUCGAGAGAGGUGAGUGGAAUUCCGAGUGUAGAGGUGAAAUUCGUAGAUAUUCGCAAGAACACCAGUGGCGAAGGCGGCUCACUGGCCCGAUACUGACGCUGAGGUGCGAAAGCGUGGGGAGCAAACAGGAUUAGAAACCCCAGUAGUCC
rnacentral:rRNA from 1 species